GCCAGGCGUGGUGGCUCACGCCUGUAGUCCCAGCUACUUGGGAGGCUGAGGCAGGAAAAUUGCUUGAACCCAGGAGGUGGAGGUUGCAGUGAGCCAAGAUCGCACCACUGCACUCCAGCCUGGGUGACAGAGCAAGAUUCCGUCUCUA
ensembl:misc_RNA Metazoa_SRP Metazoan signal recognition particle RNA